UUUGAAUUGUUGUACAGAUAAAAAAAAAAACAUUGGCAUCAAGUAAUGUUAAAUACAGAUAUAUUAGUUAUCUAAUGGAAUAAGUGCUAUAGUCUCAUUGCGUUCUUGUAUGCAUUAAAUAAGUUUGCAAUGUUUAUCGAAUAGUUUACUUGCUAAUUCAUAAUCCUUGUGGGAGAAAUACCUUUCUGAUGUCCAUUGUGAAUUUCUAGGUCAUCGAAAAAUAGGUGAUAUACACUAAUAUGUGAUACUGUAUAUUCUGCUAACCUCAGUACUGUAUUAUGAUAAGAUUGCGAUUGAUCAAAUCUUCAUUGAAUUUCAGUUGGAGAGUCAACAUCUUAUGGGUCAGCUUAUCCCACAACAAUUGCAGGAAAACUGAAAAUGAGUAGGUGGAGCUUGUAUUUACUGCGUGUCAUGUGGUUUGCUUGUCAUUUUCAAGUAAGGAGAGUCUAUGCUUUGCAGGUGGAGGAUAAGAAGGAGCUGGAAGCAAGUAGUACGAACAAACAUGAAGAAGACAAUUUUGCAGAUCUUGAUAAUCAAAUAGUGCAACUUUUAAGAGGAUCAUAGAACAAGCAGAGUGUUACAGUGUAGGCCCAGAAACAAGAGAACACAGAUGAUGAGGAGGCAGAGCUUAGUAUUUACUGUGUCAUGUAGUCCGCCGAGAGCCAUCAGACAGUUUCAAAGAUUUUUUAGUAAGGUAUGAUCAACUGUUUGAUUUGUGUUGAUAAGAACUAAUCAAAAGAUUCA